UACGGGGGGGGCAAGCGUUGUUCGGAAUUACUGGGCGUAAAGGGCUCGCAGGCGGCCGACUAAGUCAGACGUGAAAUCCCUUGGCUUAACCAAGGAAUGGCGUCUGAUACUGGACGGCUUGAAUUCGGGAGAGGGAUGUGGAAUUCCAGGUGUAGCGGUGAAAUGCGUAGAUAUCUGGAGGAACACCGGUGGCGAAGGCGGCAUCCUGGACCGAUAUUGACGCUGAGGAGCGAAGCCAGGGGAGCAACAGGG
rnacentral:rRNA from 1 species